AUGGCAGCCGCCAAGCGAAGACUCAAAACAAACAGCGAUAUCAGCACAGAUCAGCGGCUUCAAGCAGUGCUUAUGCAACGGAUUCAUGUGCGACAUGUUUUAUAUACGUUAGGACAUUUCCUAUCUUGUCAUCGACAUCCUGCAUCUUCGAAAACAUGUUAUCCUCGACGAAGGCAAGGGGUUUGUGCAGCUGACACUGCAGCCAAUCAGAUGCCGCUACACGCUGCGUAAGCCAAUCAGACGCCCAGCCGGGGCUUCGCUACGCCCCCUCAACAGGAAAUACAACACUGAUGCUGAGAAUUAAAGAGAUGCCACCGUUUGACAUGGCUAUAAUUCCAUCGUUGAACAACAUGGAUGUGUAUUCAAGGCAUCCACUGUCAAAGGUCAAUGCUGAGACAUCAAUAUGUUCAAGGACUGGCACUGGAAACAAAACUGACAGCAGAGUUGGCCGCCCAGGAAAUACCAGCUGUAUCUCCAUCACAAGAUGAUACUGGAGGAUCUGCUUGGGAUUAUAGAGGUCCGUGACAUGAGUGGGACGAGUUGAGGGAAGCAGCGUCUUCAAGGGACCUGGUUGGCUUGUGCCAACAAGUGUCAACAUGGCUGCGUCUGAUCACCAGUCAGUAAAUCUGAGGCAAAGGAAGAGGCAAAGUUAUUUCGCCUGGAUGUCACCUCACAUGCACGGUGUUGGUCUUCAGCAUUUCCUUGUCUAUCAUUUGUCUCGCUGCAUUGAGCGUUGACUUUUUCUCACAGAUGCGGGUGCAAGUCCUUGCAUUUGAGCACUGACACAAAGUACCAUGACAGAUGAAAUUACUUUUUUUUCCAUAUAUAUAUUGUAAUUCGAACAACAUUCCUCAUAUUUUUCUUGUACGUGGGUGAUGGUCACAAGACAUUGAAAAACUGCACGCUGCUGUAAAGUGGUAUCGGUUUCGUGGUAUCGGUGGCCAUUCCACAAGUAUCGGUAUCGCUGCAUCCCUACUUUUUCUUUCCAGGUUCUAUUGACAAUUUUUGUGGUUUUUAUCUUAAGCUUUGAGCUGUAUUUUUGUUGUUCCUUUUAGCUGCCUGCAUAGCAUGCCUCCAUUUGGAUCAUCAUGGAUUGUUGAUAUGGCAUUUAGAGUUUGGAUUUUGUUGGACUGUUUGAACACUUAAACAAUAAAUUUCA